AGGGUAUAUUUGAAAAUACUAAAAAUCAAAAUACUUCUUUUGUUCCUAACUUAAGGAUAAAUAAGAAAAGUUGGUGAUAGUAGAAGGGUGUAUUGGAAAAGACAAAAUAGUAAUUUCGCAGAGAUAAUGACUAUUAUUAAUAGUUCACUAAUAGAAUUAGCUCUAGGGGUAUAUUUGAAAUAAUUUGGAACAUAAAAAGGACAUUUUUAAUAUUAGCCUUCUAAGAGGGGAAAAUAAGAAAGUCGAAAAUUUUUCAAGAGUAUAUAAGUAAUUGUCCUUUCUUAAAAGUAUAUUUGUAAUAGGGAUAAUUGCCUGUAUACCCCUGAGAACUAUAGAAAUAUCUCAUUUAUCCAUAUUUUUUUCUUUCCAAUAUAUCCUUCAUAUGUUUCUCUGUUAUUCUAAAAUACCCAUGCAUUUACCACCCAUUAAAUUAACUUAGGUUAAAUGUGAGUUAAAUAUCUACUAGAGUUAAAAGAUUAAAAUGCAUCUUUUGCCCUUACCUUAACGGCAAAUAAGAAAUGUUGGUGAUGGUAGAAGGCUAUAUUUGAAAAGACUAAAAAUCAAAAUACUUUUGUACUCCUAACUUAAGGGCAAAUAAGAAAAGUCGGUGAUGGUAGAAGGAUAUAUUUGAAAGGGCAAAAUAAUAAUUUCAUACAGAUAACAACUAUUACUAACAGUUUAUUAACAAAAUUUAACUCUAGGGCGGUGUUUGAGCAAGGGGGGAAUAAUUAAGUCCUUGUUCCCCCCUU
rnacentral:lncRNA from 1 species